rnacentral:lncRNA from 1 species
UUUUUCUUCUAAGAGAUGGGUUAGCAGGCAAGCCUAAUAAAAUAUUAGAAGAUUGUCACCACAAAUUUCAAUGCACGUAUUUUUGUCUCAGGAUUUCUUUGGUUUUUUAUACUUCUCCCUUGCUUUUACGAACCUAACUUCCAGCCAAAGUGGAUCGAGCACAUUCAAAAUUAGGAAGAAUAAAUUAAUUAUCAUUGAUUGUAACAAAAUAAAGAAAUGAGAAACAAAAUGCAAAGCUAAAUUGUAAUAGAACUACAUUGGAGUGCAGAACUACAGAACAAGUUAUGAAAGCUUGUUCCUUCAGUAUUUGUUGAGCCGAAGCUACAAGCGAAUCCCUACAAUCAUACAAUUAAAUUGAUACAAGAAUUUGACACCUUCAAGAUCGGGCAUCGAACCAAAAAUCGUCAUAUAUUUCCAAGGGAACCUGCAACAUAAUGUUGUGGUUUGCAGGCCUUUGAUAUGGGUUCUUUACGAUGUUUGACAAUCUAUUUCAUGAAUUUCUCCAUCUCAGAAGGACAUCAAGUUUUUCAAACACUUCUUCACAAGAUAAAUUCCAUCUUUCAUGCUUAUUUAGAAAGUUCACAUGAUGAAGAUAACAACAGCAGCUAGCAUAAAUAGCGAGGUUCUCUAGACUACUAGUUAACAAGAUUCUACUUCCAUAUUAUUUAUAUCUAUUUCAUAUUGUCCCAUACAUCAUCCAUUACAAUGGGAUAUCUCCUUUCGUUUAGUGAUGCUUUUAGUCUACUAGUUAACAAAAUUUUACUCAAUCUUACUUGUAUCAAUAUUUCAUAUUGCUCUAGAUCGAAUAUUCAAAACAUCAUCCAUCACAACAAGAUACCUCCUUCCACUUAUCCCAGGCUCUUAGUCAACAAGAUUCUUAUCAUAUAUCAUUCGUACGAUUCCACGUUUCUUAGGCUCUUAGCUAACAAAUUCUUAUCAUAUAUCAUUCGUACGAUAAGAGACCUCCAUAUCCCACACAUCAUCCAUUAUAAUAAGACGUCUCCUUCCCUUUAAGAAUAUUUUCCUAUUUACUAGUUAGCAAAAUUCUACUUCCACAUCAUUUUUAAAUGAUUGUUCAGUAUCGUCACGUCACGUAGUAUUUCAUAUACCAUCCAUGAUCGUAAAUUUUUCUAACAUAAAGUGUCUUACCGAGUCCUUCCAUUCCAACUAUAGAGAUUGGAUCAAGUUCCGUUUCUUGAUCUCCAUCAAAUCAGCAUCAAGAUCCACCCCAAUGAUCUCAUCUUUGGUUGCACUUUUUGAGGAAUCAGCAAGCGAUAAAGUCUUCCUCGCCAAAAUUCCAUUGUUUUCACUGCUCAUUUGUGAAGAAUUUUCAACAAAACUUUCAAGAAACUAAAAGGGCUUCUAAUAGGGAUGUAAUUUGUUAUUUCUCCUAGAUCUAUAUAUUGAUAAUCUUGAAAGCAACUUACAAUUUCUUAAUGGGAUAACAGGCUGAAUUUGCACAAAUAACAAGAUGACUCAUUUAACUAAGCUAUUUAUU